UGAGAAAAAUGUGAAGACAAGCUUUCAGUUCCCUUCUUGACCACGAGCAUGGAACUAAACAAUUAAACCUGUCAGAAAAAAAAUCUGCUGUAUUUUAAGGUAUUACCCUUUAAUUCAUGGUAACAGAGACACAGACUUGAGAAGACAACUUAGUUCAAUUCCUAGCUCUGCAACAUAUUAGGUUCGCAUCUUUGGACUGCAUCCUGCCUGAGAAAACAACUAUGUCAAGACAUUAGAAAAAGAACAGCAUAUUAUAUGCAAAUACACUAAAAAAGAAAUGAUAAAGAUAAGAAAUCAGUAGAAUAGAAAGUGAUAGAGGUAGUCAAGUGAAAAGAUGGUGCGUUGAAAAGACUAAAACACUGACAAUACACUGGCAAGAUUGAUUGAGACAAUAAACGAAAUAUAUAUGCCA
rnacentral:lncRNA from 13 species